AUGCUGUCCCAAUUUUGCACAAGAAUAGAAAACCACCAACCUGCAUCAAGAAAGCAAGAAGAAGUGAACAAAAACAAUUUCAACCCUUCUAUUUCAAGGCACAGCAUAAUCCCUCAUCUGGAAAUUCCCCCUUCAAAAACAGAACAAACACAAUUCCGCCUUCCUUCCAUCUCCCUCUGUUAUGUUCAUCUUCCACGAAGUUCUCCACAAACCAGCCAUCAUCUCCAUUACAUACUCAACUAACCUUCACUCCAAACACUCCAUACCCCCUCAUAAACCAGAAAUCUUCAUCACCUUUUUAA
rnacentral:lncRNA from 1 species